UUGUUUGUGGAAUUUGAAAUUAC
rnacentral:piRNA from 1 species